CUGGCUCAGGGGCCUGUGCCCAUUUUGAAUCCCGCAGCACCCACCUUACCUUCCAGCUCACUCCACCACGGGCUCCUCCAUGAGAAGGAAGAUGCAGCGUGGCCUCCCUCGCAGCUCCCAGCUUGAUCCCUGACCGAUGGGACCUGUACCUGACCCCUGUGAGCAGGGUAGACCCUGCAGCUGGCUGAGUCUGGAUGGAGAUGGAAUGUUUUAAACCAGAGGAGGACUGUCAUGGAUUUGGGUAGCCAUUGGCUGGAGCAAGGGAAGGUCUUCUCAUGUGGCUUGCUUUGUCUGUCCUGGAAUCAAUUUUGGUGUGACAGUCAGGGGUCCUGGUUGUGGGCCACACCUGGCUCAUGAAGGAAGAGCGCCAGUCACGCAUGGUCGAAAUAGCUUUCCAAGAGGUGGACCAAAGUCAUGAGAGAGGAACAGCCCCAGCUCCUGCGGAGGAGCCAUCCCCGGAGCAGCCGCCACUGCCUCCACCACUUGCAAGCACGGGUUACACCUGCUCAGCCUGUCGAGGUCACAUGCUCC